CUUUAGUGUAUUUUUUUAUUAUUAUUUUCCAAAGACGGUUAUGACCUCAACAAUGUUACUUGAGUGUAUUUGGGUUAAAUGGAGAUAAGGACUCUGUGACGCCCUCCUCUGUUCAGAUUGAAAAAGUUUCAUUUUUGAAGAAAUGAAACCUAACCCAGCUGUUGUUUAUAAAACUCAGCCCAGUUCGUGACUCUUCAAAACAGAGAACGACAUGGACCCUUGGACAGUUGCCACCGUGGUAGGAGGUGCAGUAGGUGCUGUGGUCGCAGCUCCUGUUGUUCUGGGAGCCAUAGGUUUCACCUCAGCUGGAAUAGCAGCAGGCUCCUAUGCUGCUGGCAUGAUGUCGGCUGCUGCAGUUGCUAACGGAGGAGCAGUGGCAGCAGGAAGUACAGUGGCUGUUUUGCAGGCAGCAGGUGCAGCUGGUCUGUCAGGAGCUGCCACUGCAGCUGUGGCUGGAGCUGGAGCAGCAGCUGGAGCAGCAGCUGAAUAUCUAAGUCAGCUAUAAAAAUAAAAAAAAAGGAAGGAAGGAACAAGAUGCAUUUCUGAUGUUUUUACUUUUUGAAUUGUGGGUAAUGCAAAUUUCAUCAGUUCACUUAAUAACCAGCACUUUUGUCAUCUUAGACAACUGAAAUGUUGUGUGCAAUAAACCUGUCAAAGAUACUGGUUCAGCGUCAUCUGUAAAUAUUUCCAUUC
rnacentral:lncRNA from 1 species